GACGAACGCUGGCGGCGUGCCUAAUACAUGCAAGUUGAGCGCUGAAGGUUGGUACUUGUACCAACUGGAUGAGCAGCGAACGGGUGAGUAACGCGUGGGGAAUCUGCCUUUGAGCGGGGGACAACAUUUGGAAAUGAAUGCUAAUACCGCAUAAAAACUUUAAACACAAGUUUUAAGUUUGAAAGAUGCAAUUGCAUCACUCAAAGAUGAUCCCGCGUUGUAUUAGCUAGUUGGUGAGGUAAAGGCUCACCAAGGCGAUGAUACAUAGCCGACCUGAGUGGGUGAUCGGCCACAUUGGGACUGAGACACGGCCCAAACUCCUACGGGAGGCAGCAGUGGGGAAUCUUCGGCAAUGGACGAAAGUCUGACCGAGCAACGCCGCGUGAGUGAAGAAGGUUUUCGGAUCGUAAAACUCUGUUGGUAGAGAAGAACGUUGGUGAGAGUGGAAAGCUCAUCAAGUGACGGUAACUACCCAGAAAGGGACGGCUAACUACGUG
rnacentral:rRNA from 1 species